AUUGAACGCUGGCGGCAUGCUUUACACAUGCAAGUCGAACGGCAGCGCGGGCUUCGGCCUGGCGGCGCGUGGCGAACGGGUGAGUAAUACAUCUGAACGUGCCCAGUAGUGGGGGAUAGCUCGGCGAAAUCCGGAUUAAUACCGCAUACGACCUGAGGGUGAAAGCGGGGGAUCUUCGGACCUCGCGCUAUUUGAGCCGCCGAUGGCAGAUUAGCUAGUUGGUGGGGUAAAGGCCUACCAAGGCGACGAUCUGUAGCUGGUCUGAGAGGACGACCAGCCACACUGGAACUGAGACACGGCCCAGACUCCUACGGGAGGCAGCAGUGGGGAAUUUUGGACAAUGGGCGAAAGCCUGAUCCAGCAAUGCCGCGUGUGUGAUGAAGGCCUUCGGGUUGUAAAGCACUUUUGGCGGGAACGAAAAGGACUGUGCCAAUACCACGGUUCGAUGACGGUACCCGCAGAAUAAGCACCGGCUAACUACGUG
rnacentral:rRNA from 1 species